rnacentral:lncRNA from 1 species
CUGAGGGGGAAGUGGUGAGUGCAGGCUGUCAUGGCCCCGAAGGACAGUUAAAGGUUGAGUAUGCUCUGGCUAGGUCAGCCAAGCAGAGUGGGACAGAAUGGUGCCAGGUGGAGCAAGGGUCACCUGUGGCGGAGGUGUUGGGUGGCCACGGAGCGGCUUCCACGCUGGAAUCCGCCUUGGGCUCUUCUGCCACUUCUGCCCCUUAUCGGUAGGCAAGCUGCUCCUCCCUGAAAAGGCAGGAUACUAACACUGAAAAGUGUCUCUCAAUGGUCUGACCCUGUCAGGCAAUGAUAAGGAUGCUUCUGACCACACUGGGCCAGAGCCUGUGACCCAGAACAAGGAGGGGCUGAGGUGCCCUUCCUCACGUCUUGCCCCAGCGGAGGGAGGUAGGUGGGAAAUGCUUUUCAGUUGAGUGUCCUGGGCUGAAGUUUCCAGUGCCUGCCCUCCUCCCCUGUGAUUUGCUUUAGACUGGCAGUCUCUGCACGCCUUCCUGCUAGCUUUGUCAUGGCUCAUGACUUAGGAUUAAAGCAGAUCUGCACACAGGAUUUCGAGUACAGCUGGGCAGGUGGGAAGCACCGGAAAACACCGGUGGCAUUGUUACUGGCUGUCGGGUCUACCUUUGCCCAGGGUAUUUUUACCCCAGAUCCUCGGAGUGUGCUGUUGGUGGCUUUCUCUCAUUGAGCAUUUCACAGCUGAAGUUUAGAGGACUUCCCCAAGGCCCGCUCCAUUUCGCUGAUGUAAGCUUUAAUGACCACUAAGGACAGAGCUAUCGUUCAUGCUUCCCGUUUGGUUCACCCUGUUUCCU